CUCACCAAGUGGCUUUUGUACAAAGAUCUCAUAAGGCAAAGAACUGCAAAGAAUACCCAUUUUCAUUUUAGGCAGAUAACAGCUAAAUCAGAAAGAAGAGGCCAGAAUAGAGUUUAAAUUGUUGACACCAACGAUGAACAUUGAGUGGAAGUCCUUGGGAAAAGUGAAAAAUAAGGCUGUUGUAUGAGAGACUCAUUGGCCUAUUUUCUGAAGUGUUGAAGCCUCAUCCUUCUCAGGAAGAGCAUCCAGAUCCUCAGGAGAAAUUGCAGGCCAAGGAGGUUUCUCUUGGCACUGAUCUGGACCUCCUUAGGUAUAAAUUAUGCAGUUUUCCUGCUACAAAUGGAGAAGAAUACAUGAAUCCUGGCCCUUGUCCUGGGAAAGAGAGUCUCUAAAGAUGGUCCACUCUGCUCCAUUCUGCUCUGUAUGUAUAUGCAGCUCCUCUCAUAAUGGAAACUACACUGCAUCUGUAACUACUUUGACUGAGAAGAUGUGGAAAAGUGACCUUCUGGGACUUCUGAGCAAGUUCUCCUGGCUGUUGUGAACGCCGUGGUGCACAGAGAAUGAUGGAUGGAAGUGAUGGAGUCACUAAUAAGCCCUUGGACCCCCAUGGCCUGCUGCACACACAGAGAAUAGAGGUUUGAUUCUCUUUUUUGGUUUCUGGCCACCACCAUCCUGGCAGGAAGUGAAAAGGGGCUAGUUUUAUAAUGUAAUUUGUUCCACAAAUAAAGAAAGUACAAGAGACUUCAGAUCUAUGAAUUCAGAAUUUCUCAAAUGAAAAUGAAAUGCUACUAACUGAUGAUGUCCUUAAGGUGAAGCAGAUCUAGCUGAUUUGCAUAGAACAACAACAAAAAGAUUGCAGAUCCUACUUUCUUAUAUGGGCUCCAUCAUCACAGGUGAGUGGUUUAUUAUAAAAAAAAUCUACAUAAUAGUUGCUUUAAUUUUGUGCUCCUUUGUUAUAGAAUUAGGACUGUAUGUCCAUAGAUAAGACUUUGAAUAAAUUGAAAAGCAGAGGCUAAGCAUGUACUGGUAUUGGAUGUUUUAAGUGGUUUUUCCUGACUUGGGAAUUGACAAGCUGCUAUUUUCAUCCAAUUUCUUCCUCAGACAUGACAUUGCUUUGAUAUCUAGAGAUAGCUGACCUCCACUCCAUGAAUUCAUGUUUCUUCUUUGCAGAGUUGAGAGGGGCUGUAAAAGGUUUCAGUACUCUAAAAAGCACUGACAAUAUAGUAUUUCCUUUUUGUUUUGGAAACAUUGAGUCUAUAAAGUGAUAUAGCACUUUAUUUUACUGAUCCUUUGUGCUUAAAAUGCAUUCAUUUUUUUAAAAACACUGUUAAAAUGAAUGCUACUUGUGGAAAUGAAAGUGAGAGAAACAAUGGAAGUAACUGUAAGCGCAACAAGUCACAUAGGACUGAAAAGUGAUUUGAGUACAGCUUGUUGAAGCCUCAGAGGAAUUAAAUUGCAUAUAUUUUAAACAUAAUGUCAACCCACAAUUUAACGCAUCUUUAAAUUAUUCCUCCCUGCCUCAGCUAAAUGUGAAACCUUCCUCCUCUGAACUCAAAGACCAAAAAUCUACUAACUUUAAUUUGGGCAUCAGAUUUGCUAUAUGUAUCUCUGUCAUAUUACAGUUCAAACCAUAUGUAAGUGUGAGUUUGACCUUUCAGGUGCGUGGUUUUAUCUACUCCACAGAUAAAUUCCUUGAAUAUGGGGCAAUUUCUUUAACAAUCUCAUAUGCUGCAGAGUACUAGGCAAAGUAGAGAAUGAACUAGGUGCUAAAUAUUUCAUUAGGUAAAUAAUGCUUCAACUUUUUCAGCAGGAGGACUAUGAUGAGGAAAUUAGUGAUAGGCAUAUGCAAUGAGUAUGUGGAGGUGUUUUUCUCCAGGUGUUCCUGGCAGAGAAUCACCUGGAUUUAGCAAAUAAUGAUCAUACUGGGAUGAGGGGUGGGAAUCAUAGGACAUGGUACCUAUUAUUGGAAACUGACCCAUCAUAUCAUAGAGGAGGGUUUGGGGGGAGGGAAUAAAUGAUUUUUACUGCAAAGAAAGGUGAGGAGACUCAUUAGUGGCAAAACAAAGCCAUAAGCCAGACACCUCCAGAGGCACCAGAAGUUCAGAGCAAUGAAAAAGAUUCUGGAGAGGUUAGUGCCAUCUGUAAGUUUACGUGUUGAUAGCUUAGGGGGGAAACAAUGACAAUUAUUCAGAAAUACUGAUGAGAAAGUUCAUAAUUAAGCAAAACAAGAUUUAAACAGAAUGUAAAUAGUUGGAGGUAUUGUUCUCUGUUUUGUUUUUUCCUGAUUUUCUUGUGAUCUACCAUUUAGCAUCAUCCAGGAAGAGUGUAAGAUCCAGGGCCUGAUGAUACAGUUUCUGAUACACAACCUGCCCAGUGAUUUUGUCUGCAUAUUUCCCUUCCUCUGUGAAUGGGGUUGGCAACUACACCCACCAAGAAGUGACAGCAGUCGAUAGCUAGAAUAUUAAAGUCUGAUGUGUGUGACUAGGGUUCAAUGAAAAUACAUCAGGAAAGAUGAAACUCUUCCAAUUCAGUUGCACAUAUUGCUCUGCAAUUUUCAAAACCAAAAUACCCUGAGUCUCUAUUGAAACACAUUGCAGUGUCCCAUCACCCGUGGCUUUCAGAAUGUGAUCUGACAUUGUUUUCUCCAUUUCCCAUUUUCUCAGUUAAAUGGGAAGCAUAUUUGUAAAUGAUAUUUAUUUUGCUGUGAGUAAGGUUUGGAUUCCUUUCUCCUUCAUAGAUGUGUGCUUUACCUCUGCCCUCUCUUAAUGUAUUUCUAUGAAGUACAUAAAAAUGGGGCUCCAAAUCCAGACAAGCAUCUUCCUAGUUAUCAUGAUGAAGACAGGGAUGGGAAAUGUAUGUUGCUAAAAUGACUUUUAACCAUUUUUUACAUAAUUAUCUCUAUUUAUCCAUAUAGAAUUUUCUACCUCCCCUCUCAUUCUAAUUCUGUUGGAUGAUAAGGAUCUUGUUGCGUGUAGGAGAAGGAUACUUGAUGAAGGAAGCAGAUAGUUCUACCUUUUCCUACAUCUUUUCCAUAGUUCUAGCACUUUCUCUUUACAUUUCUCCCCUCUAUAGUCCUGAAAAUGAGAUCUUUGGGCAGCAUGAGGUGGAAGACUCCUUAUGUGGUGGUAGGUGGAGCCUAGUCAACAUUGAAUGAUGCAUAAAGCAUUGACUUUGAAUAAUGUGUGCAACUUGACAUCUGUGUGCUUUGGGGUCAAUAACCUACAUUUUCUGAGCCUCAAUUACCAUCCUUAAAAUAAGAAUAUUAUAGAAUAUGAUAAUUCAAAGCAAUUAAAGGAAAUAAUCCAUGCAGAGCACCCAUUUCUAAGAAAAGUAAGAAACAGAUGUGGGGGGUCACUUAACUCAUCUGUCAUCUACAUUCCUUCAUAAUAAAAUUAAGAUAUUCAAAUAAUUAAUGCUGUACACUUUACUGGGCCUGGGCCUAAACAUUUGCUUCAUGGAGUAUUCAUUUCAAUCCUAGGAAGUUAUAUCAUGAAUGUUUCUGACAGAUUAGGAAACUGAAGCUUACCAAAAUAAAUUAGGUGCCCUAAAUUAGGCUGAAACUAUUUGAUUUCAGAGGGCUGCUCUCACUUGCAAGUUUUAUAGACAUAGCUAUCCUACCUAAUAGACAAUAAGACGUGUACUUUGGUGAAGCCUCUUAAGGAUGAGGGAGACAGAAUCAUGCCAUAUAAACAAUGACAUACUUUAAAAAUAUUGGCAAAUUUAUCUCAAAAUUAUGUAAAACCAUCUUAUGCAAAAGUGAGAGUUUACCUUCCAUGAAAAUAAGAAUAUUUGGAAGACCAUCUUAAUUGAUAACUGUUAUGAAUUGAAACUUUUUUCAAGAAUGCAUUUUGUUUUUUGCAUCUGUUUUUUUUCAUAAAUUAUAUAAUAGCAUAUACCAAAGUUCUUUGAAAAGUAUAAAGGCUGCAGAGUUUCCAUUGUUGCUAAAUGAUAAUGAGCCCAAUGAAAAUCCAUGAGGAUGCAGGUUCAAUCCCUGGCCUUGCUCAGUGGGUUAACGAUCUGGUGCUGCUGUAGUGUAGGUUGCAGAUGCAGCUCAAAUCCAGUGUUACUGUGGCUGUGGCAUAGGCCAGCAGCUGUAGCUAUGAUUUGACCCCUAACCUGGGAACUUCCAUAUGUCACUGGUGUGGCCUUAAAAAAAAAAGUAGAAUGCUUAAUGUAUGUAUCAUUUAAAUCAAUGGCCUACUUGCCCGUAGGUAAUUUUGAACCACCUCAGCUCUUCUGUAUUGCCAUUGCUGAAGAAAAAAAAUAUUGUAUCAUUCUUUUCAUAGAUUAUCACAGAAUAUUGUGUAGAGAAUCUGAAAGAGAAUGGAUGUGUGUACAUGUAUAACUGAAUCAAUUUAUUGUACAGCAGAAGA